rnacentral:lncRNA from 10 species
GUGGGCGGGACAUGGAAAAGCUCAGGUGGGGGGUGCAGACACACAGAGUAAACUCGGGCUCCCCAGGGUGGGGCAAGGAACCAGCUCAAAGGAGCGUCUUUCACGUUUUUAUCAUAAUUGCAUUGUUUUUUCCCUUAUUAUAAAAGCAUUAUCUGCUCACUGUUAGUAAAGUAAGAUAAUUAAGAUACCACAGAAAGAAAAUAUAAAUGCACAUGUCAGAUUGACUAGCUCAAGUCCAAUACAUUCCACUAAUGGUAUGAUUUCUAUGUCUCAAUGUAUAGACACUUUACCUUCAGAAAAGAAACAUAAAAAUCACGACAGUAAGGAACGGGGAUGGGAGGCGGGCAGAGGAAGCGGCCCAGGCCUUACUCUGCCGUUCUGUUACUUUGUAUGUUUGGAGGCUUUCAUUAUGGAAAUGGAAAGGGUUUUUUGUUUUGUUUUGUUUUUAAAGCAUAUAUAAAAGCAAGGACUUCAGGGUCAGCUAAAUACAGGUUCAAAUCCCAGACCCCGCUCUGCUGUGUGACCUUGGGCAAGUCCCCUGACCUCUCUGGGCUUCAGUCCCCUCCCCUGCAGAAUGGGCUCAUGACAGUACUCAGUUAGGAGAAGUAAGUCCCUGGCAUGGGGGCGAAGGGACAGACACAGAGGCUGGGGCGGGGACCCAGAACUCAUUGAAAUUCCCAGUGCACAGGCCCAGGCUGGUGGCGGCUUCCCUCUGUGACCGAUCCCCAGGUGCCCACUGGGCUGUGCCGGCUGGCUGGCCCCUCCUCACGCUUCUCCAGUGAUCUCAUCGUCACACUCUCUCCAAUCGUCCCUUUGCAGAUGCCCUGCCCUGUGUUCCCCGGAGUCCCCGAACAACGCAUGGACCACCCCAGCUCUGUCCCUGCUGGGUCCCCAUUCUCUGUCUGGGGCAUGAACCCCCACAACCUCCCACGGGAUGGCUCUAAGUAGCCCCCUGGGGUUCCACAGUCAGCGUGGCUCCUCCCUUUCUGUGCCAAGCUGUGGGGUGGUGGGGUCCUGUGUCCCCUUUGUGCCGUGCAGCCGUCGCUGAGCGCCAGUCAAGUCCCUCUCCUGCUCUCUGCUUCCUUCACUCUUGGGGGCUGUGCUGGGUGGGAGAGUGUCCCCCCAAAUGUAUGUCUCCCUGGGGACCUCAGAGUGUGGCCUUAUUUGGAAACAGGGUGGCUGCAGAUGUGAUUGGCUGAGUCGCACCGGAGGAGGGUGGGCCCUGAUCCCACCACCGGGGUCCUCAUGGGAAGAGGAGACAGAGACACACCCGGGGGAGAUGGCCAUGCGGCCAUGGGGCAGGGACGGGAGCGGCGCAGUGUGAGCCAGGAGCACGGAGAGCUGCCAGGAGCCGGAGACAGCCCCGGAGCCUCCGGAGGGACUGCAGCAGCCUCCGUAGAUCCUUGAUUUCGGACUCUGUGGCCCCAGAACUAGGAGAGAAGAAACUACUGUCAUUUUAAGCCCCCAGUUUGGGGUAAUUUUGCUAUGGGAGCCCCAGGACACUCACACAGGGUCCAAAGAGAGCAAGCCGUCCUAUGGUCUACCCCACAGGGUCUCUCCAGAGCCCCCUGACCUCACCCCUGCCCUUUCCCCUCCUCCAACACACUCCUCCACCCCAUCACCUCCCCCCACGUCCACCUCACGUAAAUGCUCUGCUCUGUUGCAAUUUUGGGUUGUCGGUCCUAAGGGCUGUGGUUUUGUUUGUUUUGUUUGUUUGUUUGUUGAGACGGAGUUUUGCUCUUGUAGCCCAGGCUGGAGUGCAAUGGUGAGAUCUCGGCUCACUGCAACCUCCCCCUCCCGGGUUCAAGCAAUUCUCCUGCCUCAGCCUCCCAAGUAGCUGGGAUUACAGGUGCCCGCCACCAUGCCCGGCUAAAUUUUGUAUAUUUAGUAGAGAUGGGGGUUUCACCAUGUUGACCAGGCUGGUCUCAAACUCCUGACCUCAGGUGAUCCACCCACCUCGGCCUCCCAAAGUGCUGGGAU